rnacentral:rRNA from 1 species
UACGUAGGGGGCUAGCGUUGUCCGGAAUCAUUGGGCGUAAAGCGCGCGUAGGCGGCCCGGUAAGUCCGCUCUGAAAGUCCAGGGCUCAACCCUGGAAUGCGGGUGGAUACUGCCGGGCUAGAGUCCGGAAGAGGCGAGUGGAAUUCCUGGUGUAGCGGUGAAAUGCGCAGAUAUCGGGAGGAACACCAAUGGCGAAGGCAGCUCGCUGGGACGUUACUGACGCUGAGACGCGAAAGCGUGGGGAGCAAACAGG